CACAUUUUCCAAAAUAUCAUGCAAGUGGGUGACUGCACACAUCUGCCAGCAGUUCUGGAAUGGUUGGCAACUUUCCCUUUCAGAUGAUGUUGUUUGGCAUCGUAGCCCCAGCCUCAUGCAGGAGUAAGGCCAUGGCAGCAGAGUGUCAGUGCAUGGUGUAGGUGCCCAGCAGUGUGUGCCACUGGCUUCAGACCCAUUGCACAAAGCGUCAGCCAAUUCUCUACCAGCCUCACUGGAAACUUGUAAAGCUGCUGCAACAUUUUCCACCCACUUGGUUCUAGGUCUUGGUGUUUGCUAUGUCUAUGGGUUCUGUAUCACAGUGGAAACCAAUAUCCAGAUGCUCAGCUUAGAAGAGGAGGAGCACAGAGCUUCCUAGAGGCAACUGAUGGUGUGAGGAACAUGCAGUGCUGCACUGUGGGGUUACACAAGCAGCAUGAGGUCUUAAAACUGAAAGACUGGAGUUCGGAUAUCUGAAAGACUUUGUAGUACCCAGCUUCAGAGUUUGUCAGGACCAAAGCAGCUGUGCGAAUGCGUCGUCGUUCCUGAUUUGGCACUUCUGAUGUCGGAAGCGCGUUCGGACUCCUAAUCUGAAGAAAGUCAGGGAAAUUUGCGUCGCUGUGUCAACAAGAUCCUGCAGUUCAUCAUCUGUCCAAGAAGAGGACAGCAAAGCUGAGCAAGGUCAGAGAACUGAGCCCUCCAAGGAAGGUCUGCAGAGACACAGAUGGAGCUGGAACAACAAGCAAGGCAGUCGCUCUGUAGGUUCAUGCAGAAGACGACCCCGGAAGGUGAAAGUCAUUGCAUGGUCUUUCAGGAAACGAGCCUGUGGAAGUCAAUGGAUGUUUUGCCACUGCAUUCCUUGAUUGGGCCCCAGAUAAAUCGUGAUUCAUGGAGCCACUUACAUGGUAAAUGUGAAAAAUGAAAAUGACCUAUCCAUUAACUUAAUCAUCAUUCCAUCCCUUCUGUAAGGCAAAUAAAGUGUUAGAUGGAGGCAGAUGUUGUUGUAAUUGAGGUCUUUUUUCUUAUUUGAAGAGACCAAUUUCUAAAGGUCAU